CUCCUCGGAUUCCCAUAAUUUUCGAAUCAUGAAGCAAAGCGUUAUUUCUCGUUUCGAUGCGGGAAGAGAGAGAGGAAAAGGAAAAGUAAAUUAUUACGAUAUCUCUGACACGAUGUCGGAUUGGGCGCCAGUGGUGAUCGGAGUUGUUCUGUUCGUGCUUCUCUCGCCAGGGCUUCUGUUCCAGUUCCCGGGGAAUAAUCGGCAGUUUGAGUUCGGGAGUAUGAAGACUAACGGUAAAGCUGUAGUCAUUCAUACUCUCAUCUUCUUCAUCCUCUACGCCGUUUUCAUUCUCGCUCUUCAUGUCCACAUCUACUCUGGAUGAUCCGGUAACCUCUUCUUCCCGUCCUUCUUCCGUUUUCAUUCGAGAUUCUUACGAACUGAAGCUGCUGCAUUCCUAGUGGUGUUUGUGCCUUGUGUGUUGUUGUAUUUCUGUUUGAUGCGGAUCUUGUUUGAUCUGUUUGUAUUUGCGAUUUCUGUAGUCGAAGACUCGGAAGAGAUAGAAGGCAUUCUGUAUGUUUAUUUCGUUUUACUUACGCCUUUGGUUUCCAUUGCUAGUAUAGAUCUAAUUACAUCGAACGCUGGUCUCUGUAGCUGCUCUAUCUCAUGGAGAAUCUUCUUUUUUGUCUCUCUUUGUUCUUCGAUUUAAUAAAUUCAACGCAUCUCAAGUACAAGAUAUUCGUCUUA